rnacentral:tRNA from 2 species
AGGCGCGUAGCUCAGCGGUAGAGCACUACCUUGACAUGGUAGUGGUCGGUGGUUCGAUCCCACUCGCGCCUACCA